GAUGAACGCUAGCGGCAGGCUUAACACAUGCAAGUCGAGGGGUAUAGUUCUUCGGAAUUAGAGACCGGCGCACGGGUGCGUAACGCGUAUGCAACCUACCUUUUACAGAGGGAUAGCCCAGAGAAAUUUGGAUUAAAUACCUCAUAGUGUUAUUAGAUGGCAUCAUUUGAUAACUAAAGUUCCAACGGUAAAGAUGGGCAUGCGUCCUAUUAGCUAGAUGGUAAGGUAACGGCUUACCAUGGCUACGGAUAGGUAGGGGUCCUGAGA
rnacentral:rRNA from 1 species